rfam:Daphnia pulex DAPPTscaffold_378_Cont9173, whole genome shotgun sequence.
GCUGAAAUAGCUCAGUUGGGAGAGCGUUAGACUGAAAAUCUUAAGGUCUCUGGUUCGAUCCCGGGUUUCGGCA